rnacentral:rRNA from 1 species
GGAGUUGGCCAUGCCACCCUGAAUGCACCCAAUCUCGUCUGAUCUUGGAAGCUAAGCAGGGUUGGGCUUGGUUAGUACUUGGAUGGGAGACCACCUAGGAAUACCAGGUGCUGUAGGCG